GACAGGGGGGGCAAGCGUUGCUCGGAAUUACUGGGCGUAAAGGGCGCGUAGGCGGAAUGGCAAGUCGGUCGUGAAAUCCUUCGGCUCAACCGAAGAACGUCGAUCGAAACUGCCGUUCUUGAGGAUUGCAGAGGAGACUGGAAUUCCCGGUGUAGCGGUGAAAUGUGUAGAGAUCGGGAGGAACACCGGUGGCGAAGGCGGGUCUCUGGGCAAUUCCUGACGCUGAGGCGCGAAAGCGUGGGGAGCAAACGGG
rnacentral:rRNA from 1 species